GACAAAAAGAACGAAACGGCAACAAGUGUAAUACCUAUGGGUCUUCCUGCAAUUUCUGGCUACGUACCAAGCUAACUAUAGCUGCAACGUGCACAAAACUGACUACUAUAGCCACAGAAUGUGUGAUCAACGAUAGAUCGACCAACAGAAAGAAAGGCAUAUAAUCCAAAGUAAUAGAAUAGACGAGAACAAUUAAUGUGACAAUGAAGGAACGAGGUCGAGUUCGUUGACUUCGUGAAGAUGCAGUAAAACGAUGAUAGAGGAAGGAUAAUAAAAGUAGAAGAAAAACGAAAGAGCAAAGAAGAAAGGACGAGAAAAAGAGAAAAAGAGAGCGCGGACUAACAUCGGCUUCGAAGCGUGACCGUACGAACAACCGUAUGCUUGAGAGCAACGUUGAAGAACGUACUUUGAAAAGUGUUAAAUCUUUAAAAAAAAAAAAAAAAGAACAAAAAUAAGAAUAAAAUUCCUACGAAAGUUAAUUCGUUUUGAAUUCGGGGAGAUAAUAUAGUGUGGGUAGACACCAUCUUCCAAUAUAUGUAUACGCAUAAACAUGCGCGCAUCACAAGCGUAGGAGUAAGCGUAAGCUUCACACGCGUAGGAUCGUCGAAAGAGCCUUGACCGUUUCCAAAUGCCUCCAGGAGCGGAGCUGCUACUACCUGCCCAGACUAAGAGCUAUAUCGUGACGUUAAUAUCAAGUCUUUUCUUGGCAAGAUGUGAUUAAUGUUAAUUUUCAUCGAACAGGGACUAGGCCAUGGCCAAGAAGAGGUAAUCUCCGUUUUUUUACAAGUUAGCGAGAUCCACAAGUACAAGCAAGAGAGAUCGUACUAUGAGCAAACAUUUUAAAUUUAAGAGUGACCGGAAGACCCUGACCUCGUUUCGUAUUAUUAUUAUCGUUAUCGUUUUUGUUAUUAUUACGCGUUUUAUCCGAAUCACAUGAAACGAUACCUACUCGCGAAUCGAACAUCUUACAAUAGAAUUAUAUAAAUAGAUACAAAAAAGAUAAAAAAUCUCUCGUAGCACGGCAAGUACAGCUAAAUUUAGAAAUAAAAAUAUUAGGCUCAAUCCUCUCUCCCUAGUUGAGUUUCGAAGAUAAUAGUUAAAAAUAACAUCGAAACUCAACGCUCACAAUACGUCACAUUCCAGGUAUGUGUACAUACAAGUACAAGUAGCACUAUCUGCACAAUCGUUCCUUCUUACAACCCUGAAAUCAAAGAAGCAUCGACCGUACCUCCGCUCUCCUUACUUUUAAUUAAAUCUAUUUCGCUCUGGGAAUCCUUUCGACUGAGAGUUCCCGCGAAUCCUGUAGGAAAAAAAAUACUUCCCACGAACGUGCCUUCUCGAACCGAUUACAUUCUGAUAAUCGUUCGUUAAUUCCUAACAAUCAACGAAGAGAGAUGCGCGCGAUUAUCCUGUCAACAAUAGCCUACAAGAUUUGUGUAUAUGGUGUUCGAUUAAUAAAAUCAGGAUAGGAUUCAAUCAUUAGCAACGACCAUGGAGACUCCAAUGCCGAAAUACAUACAUUUUCUUCGUAACGUUUAAAGAAAUAAAGGAAUAUUAAA